GACUGCUAUACAUGCAGUCGAGCGGACAGAUGGGAGCUUGCUCCCUGAUGUUAGCGGCGGACGGGUGAGUAACACGUGGGUAACCUGCCUGUAAGACUGGGAUAACUCCGGGAAACCGGGGCUAAUACCGGAUGGUUGUUUGAACCGCAUGGUUCAGACAUAAAAGGUGGCUUCGGCUACCACUUACAGAUGGACCCGCGGCGCAUUAGCUAGUUGGUGAGGUAACGGCUCACCAAGGCGACGAUGCGUAGCCGACCUGAGAGGGUGAUCGGCCACACUGGGACUGAGACACGGCCCAGACUCCUACGGGAGGCAGCAGUAGGGAAUCUUCCGCAAUGGACGAAAGUCUGACGGAGCAACGCCGCGUGAGUGAUGAAGGUUUUCGGAUCGUAAAGCUCUGUUGUUAGGGAAGAACAAGUGCCGUUCAAAUAGGGCGGCACCUUGACGGUACCUAACCAGAAAGCCACGGCUAACUACGUGCCAGCAGCCGCGGUAAUACGUAGGUGGCAAGCGUUGUCCGGAAUUAUUGGGCGUAAAGGGCUCGCAGGCGGUUUCUUAGUCUGAUGUGAAAGCCCCCGGCUCAACCGGGGAGGGUCAUUGGAAACUGGGGAACUUGAGUGCAGAAGAGGAGAGUGGAAUUCCACGUGUAGCGGUGAAAUGCGUAGAGAUGUGGAGGAACACCAGUGGCGAAGGCGACUCUCUGGUCUGUAACUGACGCUGAGGAGCGAAAGCGUGGGGAGCGAACAGGAUUAGAUACCCUGGUAGUCCACGCCGUAAACGAUGAGUGCUAAGUGUUAGGGGGUUUCCGCCCCUUAGUGCUGCAGCUAACGCAUUAAGCACUCCGCCUGGGGAGUACGCCCCGCAAGACUGAAACUCAAAGGAAUUGACGGGGGCCCGCACAAGCGGUGGAGCAUGUGGUUUAAUUCGAAGCAACGCGAAGAACCUUACCAGGUCUUGACAUCCUCUGACAAUCCUAGAGAUAGGACGUCCCCUUCGGGGGCAGAGUGACAGGUGGUGCAUGGUUGUCGUCAGCUCGUGUCGUGAGAUGUUGGGUUAAGUCCCGCAACGAGCGCAACCCUUGAUCUUAGUUGCCAGCAUUCAGUUGGGCACUCUAAGGUGACUGCCGGUGACAAACCGGAGGAAGGUGGGGAUGACGUCAAAUCAUCAUGCCCCUUAUGACCUGGGCUACACACGUGCUACAAUGGGCAGAACAAAGGGCAGCGAAACCGCGAGGUUAAGCCAAUCCCACAAAUCUGUUCUCAGUUCGGAUCGCAGUCUGCAACUCGACUGCGUGAAGCUGGAAUCGCUAGUAAUCGCGGAUCAGCAUGCCGCG
rnacentral:rRNA from 1 species